rnacentral:lncRNA from 1 species
UCCUGAGUAGAGUAGCUGGGACUACAGGCGCCCACCACCACGCCCGGCUAAUUUUUUUGUAUUUUUAGUAGAGACGGGGUUUCACCGUGUUAGCCAGAAUGGUCUCGAUAUCCUGACCUCGUGAUCCUCCCGCCUCGGCCUCCCAAAGUGCUGGGAUUACAGGCAUGAGCCACCGCGCCCGGCUCAAACCCUUUUUUGAGUCAGCAUAAUGUUGUUUUGUCUUUUCUGGGGAGGAGGCUGGCUUCUCACUCCCCAUUUCUUCCUCAUUAUUUAUUCUAUCAACCCAUGUUGACAAGCAACAACCUCUAUUGUAAUCUCCGUGCUCAUUAUUGCGAUUCUCCAAAAGGUAGCUCACGGCUGUCCUCUCUCUGAACAUUCUCCCUGGUUUACCUGUGAUGUGUGGCAUUUCCUACAUGUUGCUGUCAAUCAUGAAAUCCACCUCAAAAACCCCAAAUCCUUCAUUCUUACUGGAGGAAUAUGACCUCUCUACAAAGGAAACUAUUCUCAAUGUUGUGGCUCUGACAUAUAUGAAAUUCAGUUACUGCAGUGUAUUUAUAUAACACCACUUCCCUAAUAACAAGGUUGAAAUGAAAUUUACUUGGGUAUAUCAACUGUGAGUAAUUGUAUAAACGUUGCUGCUAGCUCUUUAGUCCAGACAUCACUGCAAAGAUAUCAGAUGUGUCUCAUGAUCAGUGAUGAAAUCACCCCACUUCUCUCAAAGACUGUCAGGGAUUGGUCACUGUGCAUCUGUGAUUCAGUUCACAUACAAACAGAAAAUACAUAUUUGUGUUACUACCUUGUCUCCCAGUGUUAAGCCCAAGUGACAUUUUACAAAAAUGAGUAAUCAAAAGAGGUAAUAGGUCAACAAAGAUGAAGGUGUAGCAAAGGACAGAAAAGUGGUAACAAUGGAAAUGAAAUUGAAUGUGAUUAGAAGAUAGUAGACAUGGAAAUGUUGAUGCUGCUUUCUUUAGAGACACCAGACAUGCAGCCAGAGGAACUUAAUGAGGGCCAAGUUACCAGCAUAAAUGAGAAAAGUGGCUGUAAUGAGAUGUGCUGGAGUAAGUAACUCCUGAAAACAAAUAUCACGUUAGAGGAGCUACUGAAGGAUUUUCACAAUAUUAGAAGCAAAAGAGAUAAAAUGUUGAAAGCUGACUCAAACCUAGAAGAAAGGAUGGCAAUUCACUAAGGCAUGGAAAAGACCCUUGUUCCAUAUAAAAGGAGAAGGUAAUCAAUGUUUGAACUACUCUUCAUACUUCUUGUUUUUAAACAAAUUGUUUGUCAAUGUUUCAAGUAUUUCCAUUUAGCAUACACUAAAUAAAUAUUACUUUUACUGUCUCUUCAUUCCUUUUUAUGUAUGUUACUGACAAUCAAAGAAUUUCUAAUAGUUUGGCAAGUUUUUUUUUAAAAGGUCACAGAACUAUCAAUUUUUCACUUUGAAUUCUAAUAGCAGCUUGGCAUUAGCUCAUACUCUCAAUUUUACAGUCCACAGUGAAGACCGUCCAUUGUUAUAUGACACUGGAUAAACUACUCGUCUGCUCAAUUCAAUUAAAUAAUUCAGAAAUGCAGCAAUACAACAAAUAUAGAAACAAUCAACAACACCUUACUUGUGUUUACUAUUAUUUAUCAUAGUG